GUGUACACCAAUAUAUUCACUGCCUCUCCAGAUCAGACUAUACUUGGAACCUUUACACCUUUUGGACAUGGCAGUAUUUGCCUUCAUAACAGUAACGUCAUCGCAAUGAUGUUUAAUCAGGAAGGAGGCAUGGUGACUAAUAAAGAUGGAGAAAUAGUCAGAGAAUGGAGAUGGCCUCAGGUGGGAAAGCUUAGUGAUCCAGUUGUAAUGCAGGUUAAUGACUACAUCACUGUGAGGAUUGCAGGG